rnacentral:lncRNA from 1 species
UAAUACCCUACAAGAGUGCCCCUUUUCUCCCUAGCUGAUCCGUUUUCACUUUUCCCCAGGAAGUAUAUCCUUGAUAUGUUCAUGCUAAUUGAUGACAGAUAUUUUCUUCCCCUACUUUGAGUUUAUCCUUGAUAUGUUCAUCCUAAAAAGGUAGUUGUAAUCCCUAUUUGUUCCUCAGAGAGUUAAUCCUUGAUAUGUUCAUCCUAACCGGUGACAGUUUUCCUUCUCUUACGGUCUUCUACCUAGUAACCAG